rnacentral:lncRNA from 1 species
UCCUACUGACUUUGGCUUCCCAUCUGGUCCUGAGUGGGCUGAUUUCCUUGACGAGGCUGGUGGCACUGGUUUGCCUGACGAUGGUGAUGAUGCUGAUGAUGAUGUUGAUGAGCUCUGAGCGUGGUUGGUGCUGUUGGUGCCUCCCUUUUUGGUACUUGGUGCCAAAGGGGGAGUAAUGUAUCGUAGUUCUUAGUCUUUGGAGAUUUAAUGUAAUGGAUAAACGCAUGUAUGGCUACUUAUGAAUGAUUGUGAUUGCUAUGGAUUGCUAUGAUAUCAUCAUAGACUAUUAUGUUU